rnacentral:rRNA from 1 species
AGUGAACGCUGGCGGUAGGCCUAACACAUGCAAGUCGAACGGCAGCACAGUAAGAGCUUGCUCUUACGGGUGGCGAGUGGCGGACGGGUGAGGAAUACAUCGGAAUCUACUUUUUCGUGGGGGAUAACGUAGGGAAACUUACGCUAAUACCGCAUACGACCUACGGGUGAAAGCAGGGGAUCUUCGGACCUUGCGCGAUUGAAUGAGCCGAUGUCGGAUUAGCUAGUUGGCGGGGUAAAGGCCCACCAAGGCGGCGAUCCGUAGCUGGUCUGAGAGGAUGAUCAGCCACACUGGAACUGGGACACGGUCCAGACUCCUACGGGAGGCAGCAGUGGGGAAUAUUGGACAAUGGGCGCAAGCCUGAUCCAGCCAUACCGCGUGGGUGAAGAAGGCCUUCGGGUUGUAAAGCCCUUUUGUUGGGAAAGAAAAGCAGCAGGUUAAUACCCCGCUGUUCUGACGGUACCCAAAGAAUAAGCACCGGCUAACUUCGUG